rnacentral:rRNA from 1 species
GAGGCAGCAGUGGGGAAUAUUGGACAAUGGGGGCAAGCCUGAUUCAGCCAUGCCGCGUGUGUGAAGAAGGCCUUCGGGUUGUAAAGCACUUUCAGCAUGGAAGAACGCCAGGAAAUUAAUACCUUCCAGAAGAAACAUCAGUCCCAGAAGAAGCACCGGCUAACUCCGUGCCAGCAGCCGCGGUAAUACUGAGGGUGCAAGCGUUAAUCGGAAUUACUGGGGGUAAAGCGCGCGUAGGGGGCUAGUUAAGCCGGUUGUGAAAGCCCCGGGCUCAACCUGGGAACGGCAUNGGGAACUGGUAGGCUAGAGUACAGGAGAGGAAGGUAGAAUUUCCGGUGUAGCGGUGAAAUGCGUAGAGAUCGGGAGGAAUACCAG